AUCUUUAUGCAAGCUUAUGGUAGAAAUUUCACAUUUGAUUCUUUGAGCGAAACACAUUAAAACUAAACACAUGUGUGAUUGAGUGCAUAUCCCGUGAGAAGGUCGCUAGUUUGCAUAUGAUGAUUUUAAAAAUAAAAACUUGAAAUUACAUUAGCAUGGCUAUCUCACACACUACACUUCAAGGAUGAUUCAAAGAUUACUGCUAAUAUUUGAAUAAGGAAGAUGAACUUGGAUUAACUUGUUUGGUGCCAGCUAUGGUUCUUGUUGAUUUGUGUUCUCGAAUGAAAUUCUAUAAGGGUCACAUAGGGGGAAGCUAAUGUUUUUCUUGUUACUUCUUGUUCUUGUUUUCUUUGUUUUGCUCGAGGACUAGCAAAAGCUAAGUGUGGGGGAAAUUGAUAGGAGCAUAUUUAUACCACUUAGUUAGCUUGUUUUCUUGCAUUUAAUUAGCUAAACUAUGAUAAUUAUAGUGUUUAAAGUUAUUUUCGUGCAAUUUCAGGUUUUAGUGUCAAAGUAUGCAAAAAGAAGCAAUUUGGAACAUUCUAGAGCAUUUUUGGGCCAAGAUUGGAUUGUGCAAGCAUGGAGGCAUGAGGAUGGACGAAUUUGAAGACAAAAGAGGCUAUGAACAUGCUAAAAAUCUGGUGAAACAAAUACAAGUUGCAAGAAGGGAUAAAUUUCUAGAAGGAUUGACCAAAACUUCACUCAAAACCAAGAAAUUCUUCAAUGCCGUGGGCAUUGAUUCACUUUCACCAUAAAUUUGAGUGAUGAUGCAAUGCUUAAAUCACCAUGACAUGUGAGUGGAUGAUGCAAUGCUUAACUCACCAUGACAUGUGAAUGGAUGACUCAAUACCUAACCCACCAACAAUUCCCACUCUUUGCCUUGCUCACCUACUCAAUUCCACCAAAAUUUUGUGUUAAACAAGUCCAUCCUUUUCCUAUAAAUACCAUGGCAGCAACCUCAUUCAAAACACACAGAAAUUCAUACACAUUUACAUUAGUUCCAAGGCUUGCAAAGAAGGAGGAGUGCUUGGAGUUUUGCUAGCCAUUCCAUUGGAGUUGUUGGAGCAUUCUAGGUGCAUUCUACUUUGUUUUUCUAUGUUUAAUAACAAUUGUUUUUGUUUAAUUGCAAGUAUGAGGAACUAAUCCCCUACUUGGCUAGAGGUUAAUUCAAAGCCAUGAAUAUAUUUGUAAUAUGAAUUGAUUACCUUCAGUUGUGAUUUAUAAGUUGUGAUUUAAUUUGCUUAACUGCUUGAUUGAUAACUUAUUUUUGUAUGUCGAUUAAGGAUGCAUACUUAAUUUACAUGCAUGAAUUUGAUGCUAGAAUAUAAGGGAGUUUCACCUAAUCGUUAUGAACUUAUAUUCACAAGUAGUGAAGGUUGCUAUUCACAAUCACGUUAAGUAAAUUCUUGGCAUAAGUUUCAUGCAAAUCAUAGUAACGAGUGCCUCGUCAAUGCUUAUGUUUUUCAUAGAACUUAAUGAUUCUUGCUUGUAUCUCUAUUAUGCAAUUCAUGUAGGGAACUUGUAGGGAAUGUUUUGGGUUGUCGUAUGCAAUCAUCCAACCCAAUAACUUGUGGAAAAAUUAAGGGUUAAUUAGUGCAAUUCACGGUUAAUUUGGGGCGUUGAGAUUUACAAUUUAUUGAAAGAACAACUGAAAAUCAAUUUAGGUUGCAUAUGUGUCAUGUGUGGAGAAGAACCCUCUAGCCAGUCCGUCACCUAUCCUUUUAUCUUAAUUUCAUGUUUUUAUCAAUUCUGUAAUUUAUUUAAGUUUAAUUUAUUUCUCGUCAAAACCAAACCCCCCCCCCAUUAUUAAAUUAUAUUAUUUAGUUAAUUUUCAUUGUUGUUAGUCUUUUAAUUCAAUUUCCGUCCAUUUCAGUUCCUAGUGUCUAAUUUGAUUGUUUUCAUUAUUUUGAGUCAUUCUAAGUGUGUUUCGAGUUAUUAGAGUUUUUAGCCUAGUUUUGUGUCCUUGAGUCUUGUUUAAUAUUUUUAAAUUAAUUUAGAAUAGAUUAGCAAUCCCUCCUAAUCCCCGGCCUAGAACGAUACCCUACUUACAUCUAUACUACAAUUGUCAAAAAGAGGGUUUAAUUUGUGUGUCAAGUAAUUCUCGCAUCAAAUACAUGCAAUAUCUUUCUGCAACUGGAACACACGAGCAUAAUUAUUCUAGUUCCCAUACAUGUCCUUCACAGACUUCCAUAGAUCUUGUGAGGAUUCAGCGUAGCUAAAGAUCUCAGCCACAUGUUUCUCCAUGUUGUUGAGUAAAAAGGACAUGACCAGUUGGUCCUUGCAUAACCAUGCUUCAUGUGCUUGAGUGGAAGGCUUAAGUGCUUUAACUCCUUCAUUGAUAAACCCUAGCUUUCCUCUUCCACCGAGAGCAAGAGUCACUGCUCUAGACCAUGAGAGGUAGUUGAAUUCAUUCAACAAAACUGAGCAUAAACACUGAUUUGUAUUUAUCUCAAUGUCUGGAACAAAAGUGGGAGAAACUUGUGAGUUUUCUCCUUCAAGAUUCACUGAGCUUUCUUCAGCCAUUACUGGAGCUUGAAGAUGAACAACAGCGGAAAAAAAUUGGGCAGAGACAGGUCAAGGAUGACACUCCUCUAAUACCAUGUUGAAGUUUUGGUUUAAGUUUUCUUGUAUUUCUGAUAAUGUGAAUGUACAAGGAUACACAUAUAUAAAAGAAAAGAAAAGAAGAGAAGAACUAGUUACAUCCAACAGUCCUUAAGCUAAACCUUAGAGACCAGUUGUACUCCUCAAUUGAAGGAGAUUACACCAAACACUAGAUAUCAGCCUUACUUCUUAAUUGAAGGAAACCAACUACAAGACUAAGAAGAGAUUUACACAUAAUCUGUCAGGAAACAUAGAAGGUGCCGUGCAGCCCAUGCUGCACCCUUGAUUUCUGGAAUUGCAUAAUCAAUCAUAUGCAGCAUCAUUCAAUAGUUCUUCGUAUUUGAACGAUUUGGUAGAUAUUUCGAAGCCUAUUCAUCGCAGUAAACUAAUUCAAAUAGAGGGUAAACAGAUUGAGGUUGUGGGACGUUUUGAGAAAUUACCCUUAACAUGCUUUAUUUGUGGGACGAUGAUGAUCUAGCGAAACCAUACGGUCGUUGGUUCUAGAAUGAUGUGAUUAGUUUGGAUUAUUGCAAACCUCAAGGGAGACUGUUCGGGUUAGAUUCAUCCCCAGGCUGGAAGAUGGCAACGCCACUCUAUGACGAUGAGGAGAUGUCAGAAGGUUAACCAGAGAGCUGUUGAAACGUUGGUGACCAGACAGUUUACCACGAAGUUAAUGGGGUGGGGGAUGGAAAGGAAAUGAAUAAUAUGUUAAAUGUGAAACAAGAAAGUCAACCUCGUCCAAAUCUGCCAGAUUUAAAUGCGGCUGCGUCCGAGGAGGAUAUGGAUUUUGAUUAUAGGGAACUUUAACGAAAAACUCCUGGUAUUGUUCAUUUUAACGAAAAACCACAUUUUUACUCUAAAAAGUCAAUCCUGGUACUAUUCACUUACAACACAUUUUUGUCAUUUUCGUUAAAACUCAAAGUUUUCAAGCCAUUUUCAUUAGUUUUCCUUUGAUUAUGUGACUGUAAUUCCUUAUCCUGGCGAUCCAGUUAGCCCUAUUCCCAUGGGAUCUAAUGACAAUCAUCUUGAGAUUCCUUCCAUGUUGAUUGAUGAUGGGUCAAUGAAUCAUAAUGACAAAUUUACUAUUACUCAGCAGGAAUUAACCUUAUUUGGCGUCAAUAAUAAAAACCAGCCCCUCAACAUCUCCAUGCUUGGAGACACGGAUUCAUGAUAAGGUGGCAGAUGUCCCUUAUAACAAUAGUGGAAUGAGCCAACGUGUUCUGAGUGUGGGGUCAUCAACAUCCUUUAGUUUGUGGAGGUUGAUGGUCCAAGAAAGUAAUAUAAGCCCUUUGGGCCAUUGGGAAUUCUCUUUGGGGGGUUUGGCCAGUUCUCAUGCACGUACUCGUGAACCUCUCCUUAAGUUGGGUAAGCGUGCAAAUCAUGAGGAAGAAUUCUGUUUUCCCACCUGUGUUUCAAGACGUAGACUUGAUUUGAAUAGAGGUCUUUCGAUUUAUCGGUAGUUGACGAAGCUAAGCCCCGCUGCUCGUAAUGAGUUGUAUCAGUUGGAACUGACGAGGGCUUGGGAACCCUGAGCAGUACAUACACUCAAAAGGUGAUAUCUAAUUAAGAUCCCAACGUUGUCUUUCUUUGUGAGACCAAGAAUAGCAUGAUCACAUGGAAAGACUCAAAAGUAGACCUGCAAAUGGGUCGAGUCUGUUGUGUUCAUGUCGUUUUCGUGUAACAUAUGCUAUCUUAAUGGGUCUUGUCGUGUCACACAUGUUAUCUUAACAGGUCCUUAACAGGUCGGGGUAAAGUGACCCGACCCGUUAUGAUCCGUUAAGAAAAAUAUAUAUAUAUUUUCUUAAAUUUGCACAUACCACACAUUGCCACAUAAAUAUUACUUCAAAACGUGAAAACACAUUUGUCGUUUAAGUACUACAUCUACACUCGAAAAUAAGAGCCUAAUAAAAAAACAUCCAUACACUACUAGUCUAUUACAAAAUAUUAAAUGUGCAAGGAUAUGCAAAAUGAAUGAGUUUUUGUUUUCAAGGUUGUGAAGCCUUUCUAAAAAAUUUAAACCUUGCCAAUGGAACUCAAAGCUUGCAUGUUAUUCCUUUUACAAAAUCCUCAAUUUUCAUUGAUCAUCAUGAGAAAAUUGUAUUGGAACUUUGGCUUGAUCUAUUGCCUUCGAGAGUUAUGUUGAUGAUGUUUUUAGUAAGGUUUUCCACGUCAGAACUCUCUUCGGCAUAAACUAAGUAUAGAAAAACUAAACAUUAAAAACCAUUCAAAUUAUGAGAAGUUUACCAAAAUAAUUAUGAGAAGAAAUAAAACAUUAGUAGUAUACCAUAUAAAAAUAUAUUAACCUCCAACCUAAUGCACAAUGGACGGUUGAGAUUAAAUCUCAGCCGAUCCAAUGGUCACCAAUUUUUUAAAUUUAAUUUAAUAUAUAUAUAAUUAUUAUAGUUUUUUGGGGUAUAAAAUUGUUAAAUUAAUAUAUAUAAUUAUUAUAGUAUUUUUUUAGGGUUAUAAAAUUAUAAAAUUAAUAUUUUGCAUAUCGUGUAUCGUGUUACCCACGUGUAUACCCAAACCAACCCGUUAUCUUAACAAGUGCUUAUCGGGUUACCCGAUAACGACCCUAUUCGUUAUCAUGUCUACCCGAACACCUAUUAAUUUCGUGUUAUGUCGUGUCGAAUUAUCGAGUCGUGUCAGGAAUUUCCAAGCCUAGUCAAAAGUACAAUUGCAGUUUGAUUUUCUUUUCUCGGUUGCCAGUAGAGGACAAUCAGGGGGAUUAAGUGAGAUGUGAAAAGAGCAUAAAGAUUUGAGUUUAUUGUCAUACUCCUCGAAUCAUAUAGAUACGGAUGUGGAUGGCGCGGGAGAUGAGUCCUAUUGGCGAGUCACUUUCUUUUAUGGCUAUCCUCGUGUCAGCGAUAGGGCUAAAUCAUGGCAGCUACUAGAUCAUCUUCAUGACAACUCCGACGGGCCUGGGUGUGUAUUGGUGAUUUCAACGAAAUUCUUAAAGCUGAUGAACAAAAAGGUGGUAAUCUGCAUCGAGAUAGGCAAAUGGAGGGGUUCCGGAAUGCAAUUGAGAUGUCGACUUAUUGACCUGGGCUAUAGUGGUAAUAAGUUCACAUGGUUUACAACAAGGGAUGGAGGAAUAAAGGUGCGACUCGAUAGAGCUUUGGCUAAUCAUGCGUGGCUGGAACUAUUUCUGAUUUACAAGGUACUCAUUUGAAGAAGUCUUUGUCAGAUCACACACCAUUAUUUCUCACCUAGGGUGGAUGGAGACCGUUGAUAUGUCAGAUACAAUUUCGUUAUGAAGAACAGUGGACUUCACAGAAUGGGUGUCGGGAAGCAAUAAAACAAGGAUGGGCUAAAGUGGUCGAGGGUGUUCCUAUGUUCCAGGUUAGAGAGAAAAUCAAAGAAACAAGAUUGAAUUCGGCUAAGAGGGCCCAUCAAAAUACUAGGCAUGGAUCUAAAGAAAUUGAUGAAAUAGAGGAUAAGCUUACCUCCUUACUCGCACUACUAAAUUAAACAGUUUGCCCGACGAGGGGGAUUUUGUCACACAAAGCAUUUUUGGGUCACAUGCACAAAUCGUUAUGCAGAAUCUGUUGCGCAAAGGUUGUGAAAAAUGACCUUGUACGACGAAUAAGUGCAAUUUCGUCGCGCAUCUAAACAAUUGUGCGACACUUUAGUACUCGUCACGUGAAAGUUAUACGGACCAAGGCUUUCGUUGUACGAUAUAAAAGCAUACAAGUGUGCUUUAUGACGAGAAAUUUAUGGGGCCCUCAACAAUUUGUCUCGAAAAAAUUUGUGCAAUGACACAUGUAAGAGGCGCGUGGUUUUGAGCGACAAAACAUGGAAGAUGCACGUGGUAAUGCGCGACGAAGCAAGUAAGACGUGCAUUGUUUAGAGCAACGAAAUAUAUAAGAUGGGCGUAAUUUUGCGCAACGACCAGUCAACGUCGCGCAAGUGUAAUUUUUAAUAAAAAAUAAUAAAUAGAAUAAAAAAAUUAUAAAAAAAAGAUAUUUCAUACAAAUGACAAAAAAAAAAGCAAAUUAAUGAAUAAAAAUGUACUUAAAAUACAAAAUUUUAAAAGAAAGCGGGAACAAAACUAUGAAAAAAAAAGCAAAAUAAUCUAUAGGCAAGUCGUUCGGAGGAGCUUGGUAAUCUUGCUGCUAGUAGGGGGUGUGGUUGGGGAUGGGGUCGGAGGUUGACGGGCCUGAUUGCUGUGCAUGCUUGGUGUGGAAGGGCUCUGAGGCCAGUGAUGCAGAAAAAUCGGGGAGACGUAUUCGGGAGGAACUAAGGGCUUGUACAAGCAUUGCCAUUUGAGACUUGUACGAUGCCAGCUCACUCCUCAGGCCAACAACUUCCUACGUCAAGGCCGUAACCUGGGCUUUUAACUACUAGGAUGACGAGGCUCGACUCUCCUGCCGCCUGGCAUUUCCCAUCCCCCAACAAUAUGCCCCUGGCUUUUGAGCGAAAGUCUAGUCCAACGUCUUUGUCAGGAUGUGAAACCCCGCAUCCUUAGGGGGAUCCACAGACUCAAUCGACGUGUUUGAGGUAAGCUGGGAGGCGAACUCCCGAAGCACCGACUGACCCUUCUCCACCAUAGUCGCCUGUGAAAAAAAAACAUGGAUUAUUAAUAGAAAACAAUUUGAAAUAAUUAGUAUAAAUCUUUAAUGCAUAAGAAAUUACUUACUUAAAGGGACUUGGUCAACUCAUCCCUAGUUCAAACAUAAACGUCAGCAAAGACGUCGAUCUCCGGAAAUUUUGAACCCUUUUGAAAUAGAAAAAGAUAAGGAAAAUGUUAGUACAAAAAAAAUAAAAAAAUUAUUAGCGACAUUUUAAAAUUAGAAAUGAAAGUUGUAAUAUAUACCUUCUGCCGCGCCUCCAUCCUAUAGGAGAAAGGCCUCAAACCCGAAUGGUGGAGAAGAGUCUUCUUCUCCCGAUUGAUCUUGUUCGCCUUCGCCUUCUUCUGCUAUACAAAAAAUAAACGUAUUAGUUGUAAUACUUAAAGAAAAUAAAAAAUAAUAAUAAUAAUAAUAAACAUUAGUAAAAAAAAAAAGUAAAAUGAAAGAAGUCGUAAUUAAAAAAGCACCACAUAGCCCAGCUCCUGAAAAUGACCGUAGAGCCAAACCCAACUAUCUUGUCGGUCCUCAAACUCCUUCAGGCAACCAUCUUCGAGAGAGACCUACGGAUCAUCAGACUGCUCAAAAUAUUGGUGCAAGUCACUCUUCCACUGCUUGUAGUGUUCGAAGAAGAAACGAUUGAGGUAUGCCAACAUGUCCUCCAAAUUGUAGUUAAUUUGUUUGCAAUGUAACAAAUAUUAUGAAAGUAUUAGUAAUAAAAGAUAGUAAUAAAUAUAAAUAUAUAAAUUUUACAUGAAAAGUAUUAAAAAGGUGACACUACUUACCAACAAAUGAUUGCGCACCGUGUUCUUCAUCUCCCCUCCGGCAUCACCUUUCAAGACUUCCACCGCAUAGGGCAAAAGUCUGCAUGGGGCAAAAGGUCCGCACAACAUGCCCAAUGUUGUGGCCUAAUGCACUAUUCUGCUCUGUCGUUGGUGCUACCCGAUGUCGCUCAUUGUAUCUGAUUGUGAUACGACCGUUGGUCACCCGGGUGACCUUCGCAGUCUUCAAUUGCUGACAAGGUCCCCGGGUGUUUUUCUUCGUUGCAAAGAAAUGAAAAAAAAAAACCAUUAACCCAAAACUAAUAACAAAUCCUACUAAAAUUUCGGCAUAACCUCCCUUAUAAUUAAAACAUUUCUCAAAACCCUGAAAAUAACAUAAAUAAUAUACGUAUCCAACACAAUAAUCACAACAAUUUAAUAAAAGGUUCAGAACGAUGACAACUUUUUAAUCCUUACAUGACAUAACUUAAGAAAAUUGAACCUAAAAUAACAAAAAUCAGUUAACAUGGGAAUGAGGUAGUAAAUUAGGAUUGUAUACCUGACCAUGUACCCGAGGCAUCGGUUGCGGAUCCCAAUGGCGACAUCUGGUCCGGAGUGCGGGGGAGCCGAUGAGCAUGUCGAGUGCCAACAGGUAGUGCCACCGAAGAAGUCAAUGAUGCAGGCACUUGUAGGACUAGAGAACCAACUAGGUCAAUCAGAUUCACCAGCCUAUCGUCCAUCUCUGCUGGAGCAGUGGUGGCAGUAUUAGGUGUAGUCGUCAGACUAAGUGUUGAAGUCAUCGCCCUCCUAGUUCUAAUGAGCUAUGACAUCUACAAAAUUGAAAAUAAAUUUGUUUCGUACAUAAAGAUUUAACUUACCGUACACAUGCAUAAUAAUUUCAACUUAAAUUUAAAACAAAAUUUAAAAACCUUAAUUCUAAACCGAAUUCAAGUUUGACAGAAACAAAACUUAAAAUUGAUCUACCAUACACAAACUAACCAAUUCAGAUAGGAUAUCGACCCAUCAAUUAUAACUUAUAAGGAGAAACUAGCAUAAAGGAGUAGUUGGAGGCAAAAUCAUAGUCUAUGAGUGUAUGUGUCUGUAUGUAUGUAUGUAUGUACGUGUUAUAUGUGUGUGGGUGUGUGUAUGUACUAUGUCUGUGUGUGUCAUGUAUGCUGACUUUGGGUGUGUGUGUGUGUGCGUGUAUUGAUGUAUGCUAAUUUUCCAUGUACUCUGUGUGUGCGUGCGCCCGCGCGUGUGUGUGUGUUGAUGUUUGCAAGUUGUGUGUGUAUGUACUAAGCAACAUAAAUAUAAACAGUUUCCACCAUAAUUACUUAAUAGUUUCACAGGUAGUAAUAAGAAAAGGGAUCAUAUAAAGUGAUUCUUAGUCUCUUUAAACAUCCACAUUACAUAUAAAAAUCCUAUGACUAUUGGAUAUAAAUAGAGCUUGCUAACUGGAAUAAUUAACAAUGCAAUAUAUUUAGAAAUGAGUGAGUAGCAGCAAAUAAUGCUUUCUAUCUAUUUAGGAGUUAAGACUUUCGAGAGAGAAGCAUUAAUAGGCUAAUUAAGCUAUUUCUGUUCUUCAAAUUAAAAAAAAAAACCCCACAGCCCUAAUUCUAUAACUAUCUUUGUCCAAUUGUAUGACUAACUAAUUAAGCUACAUCAUUAUUUAUGUCUUCAUGUGUUUGAUUUCUUAUUUGAUUUCCAUUAUUUCUCAACACACUGAAUCACUUUGCAUACAAUGUUGGAAGGAAAGUAUGUGACAAACAAGUGCAUCUGGCAAUGCACUAAUCCUACAAUUAUCUCUUGCUUGAUGCUUUGACAUCGAAGCCAUCUGCACCUUAAUGAUUUGAAAACGCAGUCAACAUGCAAUUCUUAAAAUUUCACAAAUAAUUUCAUCUGUAUUCUGGUCUAGUUACACAGAAACAGUAGCAGUCAAAAUUACAUAAUGAUUGCAGUGAAAAUUACACAGAAACAACACUUGCAGCAAAAAUUUCGAUCGAAACAAGUUGUAAGUUAAAGCUUUGUUUGGUUCCUAAGAAACAAUGGGAAUAUCAAACAGGGAAAAUGAGACCCGCAAGUGUGAAACUGUGAACCUGGUUAUCAAUAUUCUAUACAGAUAAUCUAGCUAUAUCUCCAUGGAAACAAAAAUAUUACCAAUACAGAAUAAUCAGUAAAAACAAAUUACUCUAUUUUCUAUUUACAUUCAAUGAAGAGCGAGACAAUGUCCUAAAUCUAACCCCACGGCCUUAAUUCGAACCCUUUCCUUGAAAUUAAAAAACUCCUAAUUUAAGAACCCUAAUCUAACCCCCAGUGAAGCACCCUAAAUCUAACCCCCAAUUUAAGAAAACCAAAUCCAACCUCACUACCCAAAAUCGUUCCCCAAUUAAGAACCCUCAAAACUAUAAUUUAAGAACCUAAAUGUAACCCCCAAUUUACGAACCCUAAAUCUAACCCCAGUACCCCCAAUUUGAAAAAAAAAAGAAAAAAAAAACCUAAUUCUAAUCCCCAGUCAAUAAACAAAAUUGAAAAUAAAAACUGAAGAGGAUUACCUCUUGAAGACAAAGAGGUGACAAGCAGAGAGGGACGGAGAGACGAUGUGAGUGAAGGAGAGAUAGAUGGAGUUACAGAGGAAGGAAAGAGUGGGUAUCGAACGGGGAAAAAGGAAGAAUUGGGAAGUGAGGGAGGAAUGAGACACACAGGGUCAAAAAUAUAGAAUCUUGCACGAUAGAGGCUUUGUCGCAAAAAAAAGCACCUUAAUUGAAUUUUCAGACACUUGCGCGAUGAAUACAUAUAUUUCGUCGCGCAAGUGCUGAAAAUUCGAUCUUUCGGGGUAAAAUUAAAAUGCUUGCGUGACCAAAAGUUGUUAUGCGUUGCGCAAUUAUGUUUUAAAAUGGUUUUUGUACUUUUUUUUUAUUUUGAUUACAAUUUAUUAUAAAAUACAAAUAAAACAAAUUUAUUUACAAAGUAAUUCACGUAUAAAAUGGGAAUCAUUCAUACCAUUUUUUUUUCCAUCACUCUAUAUAAUGCAUUAACCAUUUCAUGUGUUUUACAAAAAAAGUUAUACAUAAAUUGCCUUAAUCUUCAUCCCAACUAUAAUAACUUUCACUUUCGUUGCUAUCAUCAUUUUCAGUGCCUUAUUCCUUAUCAUCGAUAGGUACGUCACCAUCAUCGUUUGUGCUCACUGGAUCAUCAGAUCGUGGAAAAUUACCGAGUUCAAUUGUGAUCAACUGAAUCUAUAUUUCGAUUGAAGAUACUCCUUCUAUCUAAAAUGGUUCUUGGAUAAGAUUAGUAUCUCGGAGUGUUUCCACACCACUUUUCAUCGAAUAUUCUAGAUGUUGGUCAACAACAUUGUCGAUGUUGUCGUCAGUAGGGUCUUGUUCUGGUAUAGCAUACACGUUCCUAUAAUCCAUCUUCUAAACAACUUUCCAACUCCUCCCAGCCUUAUGGUCAUCUAGAUACUCAAUUUGUUUUGCCAUGGUUGCUAAGAUGUAAGGGUCAUCAUUGUACCAAGUUUUGGUAAUGUUCACUGAUAGUAAUCCAUGAUCACUUUUCACACUUCUUUGCCUAUUUAGGUUUGUAUCAAACCAUCGACACUUAAAUACGAUCACUUAGCAUUGGUUUUUGUAAAGCAAUUGCAUGACACUUGUUAGUUAUAGAAUUCAAUGUCUAUACUUUCGCCUCCCCCUAGGACAUGAACACCGCUGUUUUGCAUACAUAACUUGUCAUCUCAUGCACCGCUAAGAACUUGACGCCGUUGACAUGGCAACUCGAGUACAAUUCAAUGCGAAUCGGUCCAAACGCCAAGUUAUAUAACUCUUCACUGUACGUUGGGGAAUUCAAUGCUUUCAACUGAUUCACUUAAUAUUAGACAAACAUUUAAAUUUGUUAGUUUGAGAAAAUUAAUUGGUACAAUAUAUAUGUCCAAUACAAAACACUUCAAACUUAAAUAUUCGAGAAACCACUACGGAAACAAUUCACGGUGUUUCUUGGCAUACAAAUGUGAAAGAUGUGCCUGCUUCAUCAUAUUUUCAUGCUCGUCUAGGUAUGAUAGUGUCUCAUCACAAUUGUUGAGUAUGAACCAAUGUGCUACCUCCAUGUCCAUCUUGAAAAACGACUUGCCUCGUAUCGGAUCUCUAUAUGGUCGAGCAAUUUGGGCAAAAACUGAAAGUUUCUCCUUUCUCACACCCCCGUCAUUAUUGCGAGGAGGAUGAUGGAAGGUUGUCUCAACAUCCUUUAAAUACAUUAUAUGCCACCCAAGCUUGUAUAAUGGAUCAUUCGGGCUUUGCUUUGUUUCAUACACUUUUCUUCAAGUCUUGGAUAAGCAUGCCAAAAUAAAACGAUGUGAUACAAAUUUUACUAAUUGUAAGAUAUAUAAUAUUGAUUAAUAAAAAUGACGAGGAAUAUAUACCUUUCUUUCGGAUACAUCCAUCAAAAGUUGACUAGUCCAACAAGCAAUGCCUCAUCUGGUAAGCGAACCAUCACGUGGAUCAUACUUGUGAAGAAAGCUUGAGGAAAUAUGAUCUCAAACUUGCAUAGAACUUGCACAAUAUCAUGACACAACUAAUUAAUGUCCAUUUUUCGUAACGUUCUUGACGUCAAUUGCGAAAAAAAAACUGGACAACAACAUGAUUGGUUUCACUACAUCGGUUGGCAAACGAUGUCAAAUACCCACAAAAAGUAGGCCUUAUAGAACCACAUGGCAGCCAUGAUUCUUUAGGCCAGCUAAUUUACCCCCAUCAACUUUCACAUAACACGCGAUAUUUGAAGCAUACUUAUUAGGAAACUUUACACACUAUGAAAACUUUAAAAAUUCUUUUUUGUCAUUCGGUUUCAUUGAAAAAAAACGCAAAAUCCCUUCUGGCUUUAUCAUUGUCCCUAUUCAUCCAUAAACCUCGUCGUAUUCCCAUUCGUUCCAAAUCAAGACAAGCUUUGAUCAUGUCCUUUGUCUUGCCCUCAAUAUCUAGAAUUAUGCCGACCAAUGUGUCAAAUACAUUUUUCUCAACAUGCAUAACAUCGAGGUUGUGUCUUAAUUUUAGUUUCGACUAAUACGAGAGCUCAAAAACAUAGACUUGUGCGUCCAGUUCAUAUGUGUAAAAGGUCUGGUCCUAUUGACAUUGGUCCUAAAAUGAGCAAAAUCCAAAUGGUUAAGCUGUUCUAAAAUCUGAUCACUGGACCAUUCUUUGGAUUUGAGGCGAUGCUCUUUCUCCCCGUCAAACUCUUUAUCCUUCUCUCACCACUCGUGGUCCCAAGGCAACCAUCUCCGAUGACCAAGGUAACAAACGUUUCUAGCAUGCCAACUAGAUGUUACGUCUUUCUUGCUUACAGGGCAUGCCAUAUAACCUUUAGUGCUUCACCAAGAAACCAUUGCAUAUGCGAGGAAAUCGUUUACAGUCCAAAUCACUAUAGCCCGCAAAGUGAACAUCUUGGUAGUACACUUAUCGUAUACAUCGAUUAACCUACGAAGAUCCUCAAUUAUCAAUAGAGUCAUCAUCCUGUAUUCUUUUUUCAUAUAUUUCCAUGGCGGAAAAUUAUACGGAAAUACAAAAAUCAGCCAAGUACUGCGGUGUUAGCUUAAAAUCCCAAACGGAUUAAAUCUGUCAGUGGCAAGUCCCAAUCUAACGUUCCGAGAAUCAGCAGCAAAAUCAGGGAACGUUCGAUCGAACUCUUUCCAUGCCUCUCCAUCUGUAGGAUACCUCAGGACAUCAUCAUCAACCUGUUUUUCCUCAUGCCAUCUCAUGUCCAUGGUAAUAUGCAUUGACAUAUACAAUUGAUGCAACCUAGGCUUCAAAGGCAAAUAACGCAUAACUUUUUGUGGGAUCUUCGUUGAUCUAUUUUGACAUGUCAUUUUGAACCUCAACUCAUUGCAUAAGGGACAUUUAUCCAACGUUUAUUCUCCUUAUAGAACAAUACACAAUUGUUUUUGCAAGCAUUAAUUUUUUCAUAACCCAAUCCGAGACCAUCCAACACCUUUUGAGUGUUUCUUUGGUCUUUCUACAAACAAUUGUCCUUUGGUAGCAUUAUAUGCUAACAAGUUUAUAGAGAUUUCUAUGCUAACAAGGGAUGGAUGGUAAACCAUUUUACACAAGGGAAUCGAUACUACGCCAGCUUCUAAACAAAACAAAAGAUAGUUUUUGUGAGGGAAAUAUCCUAAAAAGGAUUGAGAUCUAGGAUGAUUAUAGCUUUUAGAUGCAAAUUUGGCUUGAAAGCAGAGUUUGUAUGUUUGUUUGUUUGAUUGGUUGAGUGUCUUUGUCUAUGGGGCCUCUUCCUCCUUUUAUAGGCAGAUUAGCCCGACUACAGUGAUUUCGCAAUUGCCCGAAAGCACUUGGAGGGUAGUGAGUCACCAGCUUUUUAUUUGUAUUGCCACUGAAAACUGCUUUUUGGCUGAUUUUGAGUUAGUCCUUAUCACUUGGUAUUUAAAUCAUAGGCACAUGGCCUAUGCAUUAAUGGGAAUGCACUAAUUUGUCUUUGGGCUUGAUGCUUGGACCUUGGGCAAGUCUCCCUUUAAUUGGUAUCUCUGGGCUCCCACACAUUUGUAGCCCAAUGUUCGAAUAUUAACCCAAACAACAAUAAAACUUAGAUAAUAGAGAGGAUUAAAAUGUUGGCAGAAGAUUAACCCUAACAAGAGCAAAUGAAUCAAUCACCACAUUGCAUUACUGUCCAAUGAAGAUGACUGAGAUCAUUAGAAAAAGUAAAGAAAACCUCUCCUAGAUUGAUGCCUUUUCAAAAGGACUAUUGAAGAUGGACAAUGGGAAUUCAAAACAAUAUAAAUCCUUAGAUAUUGAAGCCUUUCUAAAGUUAUAAAAGUUCAGAACAACAUUGGACAAAUAUAUAUAUCCAACUUAAAUUUAGGGCUUCCUAAGUUGAUCAUAAGUUGAAAAUUCAGACUCAUGGUGCAAUAUAGGUUGAUCAAAUUCAGUUACUUCAUCUAUCAGCUUUGCUUCUCUUUCAAUUAUUGAAGGUGCUCUUUGCUACUUUAUGUGCGGUGCAGUGAAAGACAAUAUCAAAAGAAGGUUUGAAGCUUAUAAUCAAAACAAAGAUGCAUGCAUCAUCGAUUUUCAGGCUAUUCUCUUCCACAAAAUUCUUCCAACUAUUGUAGAAUCUAGCUCUUCCUUUGCCACAUGGUUUUAAUUUGACGGCCCAAGUUCUCCCCUUCGAAACUCAAUGGAUGAAGCGAUCAUGAGUCAGCUGCUUAAGAUGUUUCUUAUAAAACUUGUUUGGCACAUCCUGGAAAAACAAAUGAGAGGUAAAAAACCGAAAAGACAUAAAUCAGACUAUGGAAAAAAAUUCAUGAGAUAAUCUGCUAUUAAACUACAUUCUAGUUUAUAUAAUUAUUUUCAUGCUGACAUGUAAGGAUAUAAGUUAGUAUUAGUAAGUGUUGUAAUGGCUCUAUAAGAAACCUUACCAAUUAACCUGAAUGGAUAUAUGUUUCCCACGUGGUAACCACAAAAAAUGGGUGUUCGGAUUUGAAAUCAACUUUGCCUGCUUAGGAAUAUAAUAACAUACAUGUUAGAGAGAUGAGUUGCAGGAAAUUGCAAUAAGGUAGAAUAUAGAAAAUGCAUAUUGUGUAAUUAAGACGUGGAACCACAUUGUGUAGUUAAUGUCGGUUUCUGCUUUACCACUGAAAAUUGUUCCUUUUUCCUUGUGAGGCUGAUGACUUGUCAACGAAGAUUUCUCCUUUGUUUUUCUUUGGUAGGAUGUAAAAGACUAUGAGGUUUCAGAAGAAUCAUCAUCAGAAUCAUCAUCGAAGUCUUCAGAAGGACUAAAAGUAUCAUCACUAGGAUCAUGACUAGAAUCCUCAUUUGAUUCAUCACUAGGAUCCUAACCAGAAUUAGAAUCAUCAUCUUCAUCAGUUUCUUUCGUCUCGGGCUUUGUUUGCUCCCCAUCAGUGGUGCAAUCUUCAGAUUCUGUGGUGCAGAAAUAGACAACAUCAAUUAAAGGUUUAAUGUUGUUGUUAAUGAACACAAAAACACACACAUCCCUAGCUUUCAAAUUAUUGUCACGCACAAAACCCAUCCAACCACACUCAAAUUUGGCUCUUCCUUUACAAUAUUUCAUGUUAACAUCCCAAGUUCUCUUUGAGACUCGAAGGGUAACCUAUCCAGAAUCCGUAGUAAUAUGUAGCUUGUGAACCUCAGAUGGCAACCACUGAAAAAAGCAAAGAAACAGGAAAACAAGAAAAUACAAUAAGAAAACUAUUGACAUUUUGUUUAAUUGAUUUAAGUAUUAUUAUGGCCCAGCCAGCAAGCAUGGUAGUCAAUAGAAAGCUCACCAAAUAUGAUUGGUUUACAUAACCGUGCGUCAUGGCAACAAGGAAGGAAGAAGGAUUUUGAGCUUUGAAAGCCUCAGCUCUCUCACAAGCCUCAGGUCUUUGUUAUACAAAUCUUCGUAUGUUAGAUGUGUCUUCACCACAUGUUUUAGAGGUAAAAUCAUCUCUUCCUAUAAAAGAUUAGUAGAUUACAAUAGGAUACUACACGCAAAACCCUAACCAACAUUCCAGUAGAAAAAAAAAAUAUCUAAGCCUUGGGCUGCAGACAUGUCCUAAUGGUAGAAAACAGAAUAACAGGUAUUAAAGUAGGAUAACUGUUGUGACAUAUGUUCUUCUUAAUAUUGUGAUUGUGUAAAUCCUAAGUAGAGAUAGAUUAGGAAUCCUUUGGGAUCUAGAAGAUCUUUCCUAAUAGACUUUGUAUUACUUGGAGAGCAAGUUUCUCUCCUCCUUAUUACUAUAAAUAAAGGCACAAGGAUUGGGGAAUUAACACACAAUUCCUCAAGCCUAUUCUCCACUCUCUUUUCUCUCUAUGCCGCACCCCUCAGUAAAUAUAGGCCACAACACGUUAUUAGCACGCUCUUUAUGCUGUGCCAAAGAGAAUUUAUUCGUCUUCAAUCAGGGGAGUAUUACGUUUCAAUUAUUUUAAUUGAUUAAAUUUUGAUUUUAUUGAAUUCAUAUACUUUUAUUGAUUCAAUUUCUUUUCAUAUGUUGAACGUGAUACAAACUUUGGAGAGGAAAGCUGAAAUUGAAGAAAUAAUUUUCUGCAUCAAACCAUUUCAUCAAUAUCAUCACGCAAUUAGGUUCUUCCAAAACAAUGGUUUUUAUCUCGAUAUUUUUGCAACCUUGAUAGCAUGAACAUUCACCAUAAUGCAUGACCCAACUUUAUGUUUUUCGAAUUUUAGAUUCUACAUAAAUUGUGUAUGCAUUAUAAUCAUAAUCCUAUUGAAUUAUGUGAUAGUACUAUAAAUUAUUUGAAUAUGCCUUUAAUUAAUUGAAAAAAGAAACAAAAAAAUUGAAAACACAAUCUGGGUUCUUCGAACCCAUGACCCGAGCCUACAUCAGAGCCAGAAGCUCCAUGCCUUUUUGGAACCCAGACCCACGACAUCAUUUCAACAUUGUCCAUCUACCAAAAUUUGACACCCUUCACGAUGUCCCACACACGGCUUGCAACCAUGCCUUGUUAUCCUCAAUGACCUGCAGUCGUCCUCGACUACGAUUUUGGCCGAGAUUUGUAAAAAAAUCUCCAUGGAUUUGAAAACCCCAAAAAUUUCAAUACAAGGGUUUUGGUUUUUGGAUGUUGAAAUUUCUUUUUUUUUUUUCUUUGUCACACCAUCAAGUUCCAUGUCAAGCCCUUGACCAGAACACGGCCGCCUAAAGCGGCAGCGCCAGCCUUCUUCCCCGGUGACCAUACCCAGCGAAGCUAGGGUGUUCUUGGGCUGAAAUCCAAGCCUAAUUGGGCCUUGGUUUCUUCUUGACCUGAAAAAAAAAAAAAAAAAAAAAAAAAGGUUUUUUCCUUCCUUUUGGCUCACCUGCAACAACCCAUUACUUUGGCUUGGCUCGCAUAACAUUGCUCGUGGGCCUUUGGUGUCUAAGUGAAGUACAUGAUCACAACCUUGUAUGGUUGUAGUUCUCCAUUACAACGCGCCACACCAGAUCCACACGCUGGUGCAUAUGUGCCUGCGAAUCACACAAUCGCUACCCCCAUUAGGCUUCUGGAUCUUGCCCAAUUAUGGGCCUGCUUCUUGACCCUUCUUCGGCUAUGACCAUUCCAGCCCAUAUUUUUGGACUUGGAUCCCACUCCGGCUUUUGGCCCAGUGCCUUGGGCCACCAAUUAUAUUGCCUAUUUUUUUAGACCUUAUGGGUUUUAAAUUUUUUCGCCUCACUUUUUUAUUUUGGCCAGAAGUCCAAAUAAUUAAAUUAUAAAUUCUAUACAUAUUUGCAUAUUUUCUUGUUGCAUAAUUUUGUAUAUUUUGCAUUUGUUUGCAAGUAUUAUAAACUUGAAGUUCAUACUUCUGAACCCAAAGUUUCAGAAAAGUACCAUAGAAGCCUAUAGUUUCUUAACGCGCAACACUCAUGUUGAGAUCCGACGUUCUCCAUGCUUAAAUUCAUUUAAACCAAACCAUGUCUUAGAACCUGAAUGUUAUAACUUUGAUGUUUAUGGAAAUUUUAUUUCUUAAAACACCAAUCACAUUCUUGUUUCCGCUAUUCAAUGUAUUGUCGAACAGUAACAAGUUCGAUUUCAUUGAUUUGGAAGUUUUGAAUAAGAAACUACUUUAUGUGGAUACAACACAUGACACUUUGCUUGACUACGACUAGUUGCGAAAUCAUUGUAGUCAAUUAUGGUGUGGAAGAGCUGAAUAAGCCUCCGCCAUGAUCUUCAUUAGAAGAUUUAUGCCUGAAGCAUAUCAAAUGGAAGUACCUCAAUGCCAAGGACUUUAUGGCUCUUUGACUCACUAUGGACCGUUUCAAAUCAUGCAAAGAUGAAUUCUUGCCUGAAGCAAAACAUGAUUGAUACCUUUACGUCCAUGAAUAGACAUAACUUUCAAGUUUAUAUUCAAUCAAAAGUAGUAGUAUAGAGAGCCAAAGUUUACCAAAUUCUCGGAUUUGAUUACUACCACACCCAUGAGAGAAAGGUACCCCAACAAUUCAGCUGGGAGCUACCGAAUGAUAUAGACCUAAUUUUGGCUGGAGUUUACCGAAUGAUGGUGCCCUACUUCAGCAGAGAUACAUAGAAAUGCAUGUUCUGCUUCGACAGAGGUGCACUGAAGGGUAGGCUCUGCUUCAGGAGAGGUGUACCAAAUAGUAUUGCUCUGUUUCGACAAAGGCUAUCGAAUAAACCCCCUCCAGUUUCAGUUGGAGCCUAUCGAACCCGAGUCUAGGUCUGUCUUUCUCUCACAAUCCCAUUUCGAGUGUGUUUUACAAUAUUUGGCAGAGACUCAGGCUUGCCAAGAGGUGGAAUCACGCCCGAAGCAUGAUCCCUAGCACCUAAAAACUUUAAAAAUAAGGGAUUGUAUUCUCGAACCUCAACCCUGCAGAAUCUAACUUCGUUUUGAUGGAAUAGAUCAUUGGUUAUGCACUUUUUGUGCUUUUACCAAUAUUGUUGAGGAGUACCAUUCCAGUAGGCAAUAUGUGAGACUAAUUUUGCUCCACCUAACACAUUUGAAAGAGCUAAAUUUGACAUUGAAGGCCAUAUUGGCCGAAUCCCCUGUAUAUUUGGUUUACUUUGUGAAUAAUUUAUUUUGUUCUCGGAUUUAAGAUUGAUGUUUGGAUGUCACUAUUAUUCUUGAAUAAAGAGUUAAUUAACGAAAAUUACCACAUGUGACUACAAUUAACUCAUGCUUAGGUAUGUUUUGUGGGGAAGUUAAUUGUCUGGUUCUAUGCUCACUUCACACCUAAUCAUCCCUUGACAACCUUUCAGGCUUAUCCAACCUGAUUAUGGGUCAAAUGGUACUAAUUUUACCAUAAAGGGAAGCCUUAUACUCACUCCAAUAUAGAAAAUGGAGUAAAACUCCUUGGCAUAUUACCAUAUUGCACUUCCUACGAAUAUAGCCAAAAGCGUAUUCUAAAGAAGAUGGAACGUUUACCGAGUGGAUUACACUUAUUCAGACCCACUAUGUGGCUGGCCAGAAGCCUAUGAUUCCAAAGGAACUUUCGCUAUGGAUGUAUGUUUGCGAUAUCUAGGAUGAUUUGUGAUGAGGCGUUUUGGGUAUACGAAGUAAGGACAUCAUACCUGGACGCGUAUUAUACCUUAACACCCUCCAUCUUUUCUACAAAGGAUUCAAAUGGGACCUUUGUGGAUUGAUUCAGCCACCCUAGGGAUUAUUUAGAUACUUUAUAGUAUUGGUUGAUGCUUCAACACGUUUGUCACACGUGUGGCUGUUGUCCACAAGCUGCAUUCUCCACACUAAUGGCUCAAAUUAACAAGCUCAGGGCUCACCACCCUUGAUCAUCUUAUCAAAUUUAUUUGAUAAGAUAAUUUAGAGAAUUUACGUCGAAAACUUUUGAUGGAUAUUGCAUGUCGAUUGGGUUUUGAAGUUGAACAUCCAAUCUCAUGUUCAUACCCAGAACGAUCCAGCAGAAGCAUUCAUUAAAUGCCUUCAAAUGAUUGCGUGAUCGAUUGGUCAUACGUACCAAAUUCCCGAUCUCUGCUUGGGGCCAUGUAAUAUUGCAAGCAACCAUGUUGGUCUGCCUGAGGCUCGUCACGACCCAACAUUAUAAAGCACAUGUCAGUUGGUUACCAGAUCCGAACCCGACAUAUCGAAUAUGCACAUCUUUGGUUGUACGGUCUAUAUAAGAAAAAAAGGGUCAUUAGGGAAGAAUGGAAAUCUAUGUCGGUUUUGAUUUUCCUUCUAAUAUUCGUUACUUAGAACCUUUAACAGGCGAUCUUUUUAUUGGUCGUUUUGCAGAUUAUCACUUUUAUGAGACAUUCUUAGAGUUGUUAGGGGGGAGAUAAGAGUUUCGACGUUUCUAAAAGAACGACGUGAAUUAUGGUGGACGUCCCCACUAUGUCUCAUCUCAAUCAUAAUCUAGAUCAUCAGAGUAUAACUAGAAACUUCUUCUGAUCUAGCAAAAGUGAUAAGAUCACAUAUACCAGCUACAAAUGUGUCUGCAAAGAUGUGUACCAAAUGUACAACGGACCUUCGUCUCGAAAGAAGGAACACCACUACUGUGGCCAACCCUCGUACAUUGGCGGCUAGCCAAUCAAUCUAUCCUAUACCAGAAGCAUGGCAGAUCACUUGGUUCAAGGAUUCACUUCACCCAAAAGUGGAGGAAUGUGUCACAAACAAAUCUGCCCCUCAAUCACUGUCUUAAUCCUUUUCAUCUCAUGAGAUUAAAUCCGGAUUACUCCCGAGACUUGAAGUUCUUAGUCCAAUAUAUUAGUUUGGAUGAGAUAUGGAAUUGGAAUGAGAUUAUCAUAGAUGAUGUUUCAUUUAUAUGGUAAUUACCGAUAUAAAUGAAAAGUGAGGAUAACGAAUCGCGUUUUGUUGACUUUUUUUAAUAAGGAUGAUAAAGGAUUAGGCGAGUCGAGCUACGCAUAAGGCUUGGUCAUCGGACUACAAUAGUAGAAACCUUACUCUCAAAGCCCGCAUAAUGCAAAAAGAAAGAACCAAACCCCAAGAUUAGCCGUCAACUACAAGUAGGCUACUUUCUUCUCGCUCAAAGCGAUGAGAAAGGGCUAACACCUUGAUACAAUGACCCCCCCGGUCCCUAACUUUGAAUUUAUUAUUAAAUAAAGAAAAGUAAACAAUACAAGCGGGGGGACAGAGCCAAAACCCGCUAAGGGAAAAAUAAAGAAACAUCAACAAAAACAAACAACAAGAUGAAACUUGAAGUCACGAGCAUGGUGGCAGGUGCAAAAUCCAAUACGAACCGCCUCAAUGAAAGUUAAUAUUUUUGUAGCCAUCAAGGACCAAACUAGCAAAACCUAAAAUUAGGUUGUGAAGAAAGGUUAUGAAUGUAAGUAGAAAGUGCACAAGGAGGAUAAAAGUCCCAAUAUAAGCUCCUAGAAUGAUCCACAUCGAAGUUAGCCAAACAAUUGGCAACUACAUUUCGUUGAUUAAUAUCAACAUAGAACUGAUUGGCCAACUAGAAGAAUCAACUGAUGACGAAUGAUAUGAAUUAAAUAGUGCGAUAUGACACCUUGUGGCGUAAGGCUUCUCUCAUAUGCCAUAUGAUCAGAUCCUGGUAGGAAAACUACAUGGAAUUUUCAAAGGACUUACAUGUACUGAUUCAAAUAGUUCUGGACCACAAGAACACCAUCUUGGUUCUUAAGAGGCCUUCACUUUGCGGAUGCAGAAUAUCCCGACAGAUGUGGUAUACCCGUUUAAGUGAAUAUUUGAUCAGUUAGGGAUAUAUGCCCCUACGUGUACAAAAUCCGAAAUUGCUAGAGUUGAGAAUACUAACUCUCACAUAAAGUCGGACUUAAGAUGAAUGAUCUUGGGAAAACUUGACAUUACCUCGACCUGAAGUUUCGAGCUUGUUCUAAUGAUAUUCUAGUCUACCACUUGAACUAAACCCAUAAGGUGUUAAGUAUGAGUAUACCCUGAUCGUCUGUAUGUUAGACAUUUACAGAGGGUAUAGAGCAUAAGGGUCCUUAUUGGAACGUGAGGCAACCAUAUCUAAGUACCAUUGGCGUUUGUUGUACUUAGCUCAAUGCACUAAAAUCGGACAUCUUAUGUGCUGAUAAUCUUUGGCAAAAAGCGGCACUGCGCCUACACGCCACCACCAAAUUUGGUGUUAAAGAUGUUUUUUCCGUUACUAUGGACUUAGGCUUAUCUAUCCAUAUGCAUCUCAGAAUAGAUCACACCCUAUUGGUCUUCGGAAUGAUGCAUACCUUGUGGGAUUUGCUGAAUCAGACCAUCUAUCUGAUCGCAUAAGGUACGUUUCUACAUGGUUAUGUCUUUACCGUUAAAGAACACCGCAAUAUCUUGGAGGUUCAUGAGAUAGACCUUUGUUGCGAAACCUUUAAAUCAUUCCAAGACUCACUGUAUCUCAUCAUGUGAAAGAUAUAGUCGAGAACUCUUGUUGAGCAUAUUCAAAAUCCUUGUGAUUUUCAUCCAUCGUUGAGUCCGAACAACGAUCCAUGAAGACAACGCUGUAUGUAAAGACCAGAUCAUGAUACAUCUAACAAGUCAACACCAAGCAUAUUGUGUCUACAUCAGCAUGAGCAUCAGAAGAUUGAAGUCAAGCAGUCUGAGCCCAGACAACCUUGUCGACCUCUACAUGACGUUACUGCCGAAAUCUACCUUUUAGAAGCUUGUUUAAGGAAUUGGUAUGAGUAACUUUCUCAUUUGUGAUGCUUGUAGUUUCAUUUGAAAGUUUUGUCAAACUCAAGGGGAGUAUCCAAAAGCAUACUCACUUGACCUUAAUGUACUCAUUUUCCCUACGAUUAGAAGCAUUUUUCCCACUGGGUUUUUGCUACCUGAAUAGGUUUUAACGAGGCACACAUCCUGGGCUGGUCAUACCCUUGUGUACGUUCUACUUACAUCCCGAAGACGUAUAGUUUUGACUUAAUGCAACUUCUCACUUUUCUCCUUUGACUAUUGGUUUUUGUCCCACCUUAGGUUUUGCCAUAGUGAGGUUUUGCGAGUUUUACUACACAUGCAUUCUUCUGUUUGUUUUGAGACUCGCAUUCGCUACUUGUGCCGACUAGACGAGACGACUUCAUCAACUGCUUCUCCAUUUGCCUGAAGAUUUGAUGCGCCAUCUACUUGAGUAUUUGCACACUCAAGGGGGAGCGUUGUGACAUGCUCUUAUCAAUAUUGUGAUUUUGUAAAUCCUAAGUAGAGAUAAAUUAGAAAUCCUUUGGGAUCUAAAAGAUCUUUCCUAAUAGACUUUGAAGUACUUGGAGAACAUUUCUCUCCUCAUUAUUAUAAAUAAAGGCACAAGGACUGAGGAAUUAACACACAAUUCCUUAAUCCUAUUCUCCACUCUCUUUUCUCUCUAUACCGCACCCCUCAGUAAAUAUAGGCCACAACAAUAACAUAUAUUUUGCCAUUCCAUUUCUGAUUCAGAAAAUAUGAAUCUUUAUUUUUUCAAUAACUUCUCAAAUAUAAUUUAACAAAAGUUGAGUGUUCCGUGGUUUAAUUAAGAUGCGGAACCACAUUGUGUGAGUUGAGGUUGAUUUUGACUUUACCACUUGAACUCGCUCUGUUUUUCCUGUGAGGCAUUAGACAAGGUAAUGAAGAUUUCUCCCUUGUUUUUAUGUGGCACCUAUAAGUUGAACCAUGAGCAUCAUUACUAGAAUCGUUACUAGAAUCGCUAUCAAAUACACCACCUUGUUUAGCGGGAAAAUCAUUUUUUCCUAUAAAAGAUUGCAAUAAAUAACUUAUUACAAGUAAAACCCUAAUGACAGAAGGCACAACAAGGUAACAAACUAGAACAAUGUGAACCUAUAUUUUUCGUUGAUUUCUCAAACAUUAUUUCAUGAAUUUGACUGUUGGUUUGUGCUUAACUUACCCUUUGCAAUUGUUCUGUUUUUCUUGUGAGGCUGAGGAAAUGACAAUGAGGAUUUGGAAUCAUGGUCAAAAUCAUCAUCUAAAUUAAUUUUUUUUUUCAUCUGGGGCAUAGUUAAUGGAUAGUUGAUCUCGGUGGCGCUUCUAUCAAAUAUGCAAAACUGGAAUAUGGAAUAUGGAAUAUGGAAUCCCCUUCAUAUCCAAAAGAUAGCCAGUGACCAAAGUGUAGGGAGUAAAACUUUGAGAACUCUGGCCAACCCUCGUCAAACAAAACCACAUUGUCCUGCUUUCUGAGUUCUAUUAUCCAUUCUGAACCACUUGGAAGCUUAAGGCAUACUCCGCUUAAUAAAUCAUUACCGUAUUUUAUCACAAAUUUGUAUGAUUCACAAAUUAGUAACUGACAACAUAUCAAUUAAAAUUUUAGUAUAUAUUAUAAAAAUUACCUAUUCACCAGUAGCACUCAAAGUGUCAAACUUUGAUGUUUUUGCAGUCUCGAUACGACAUAAGAUUGUUGCAGUUGUUGCUUUUGCAGAUUUACAAUCUUGAUACAAAAUUACAACUAAUUUUUAAUACUAAUUUAUAAGAUUAAAACUAAUUUGUAAAAAGAAAAACCAAGUUGAAAAUUUUGAUAAAACUGAAAGAAAAAAAAUUUAAAAUUUUUUUAAUUUGAGCUGUCUGCAAGACUACUUCACUCUGGGCUGUGUCCAAACUACCCAUGUGUGUUUGACUGUCUGGUCAUUCUAGCGCAUUUGGCAAUGGGCCAAUAGACAAUGGCAAGCCAUAUUCACAAAUUGAAAAAAGAAAAUUUUGGGCUUUAAUCUAAGUCUUUACCCAGAUGGCAUCCCAUGAGCAAGAGGGACUACAUGUUGCAGCCUUGUGCUGGAACUGGAAGUUGCCUGGAAGCAUCGAAGCAAGAAGCAAAACCAGAAAAGGGGGGACUAAACCUCUCAACAUACUCAGUUUUCUUCCUCCCUAGAAACACCUCUUCAACCAAGUCACACCAGAGCAAAGGUAUCUCAUAUCACUAGGGUUGAAAGCAAGAGUAUCUCAUAGCAUGUUUUCUCCCUAUCCUUUUCUUUGUCCUCGUUCUUCUUUGCAGGGUAAGGAGAAAAAGAGCAAUCAGUCGGCACUUGGAAUCAACCUUCCAAUUUGGAACCGACUGCCUGGAACCCUUUCCCUGAUUGUUCACCUAGCACUGCUCUCGAAGUACACAUUGUUUCAACAUCUUAUGCUUUCAGAGAAGAUACCACACAUGCUUGGAGAAUAGAAGAGGCAAGUGAAAAUGAUGCAUCGAAGCAUGUGGAGACAAAGGCAACAAAUACAUGUGUUGAUCAUCCGCUAUUUCUUCAAAAGAAAAAGUAUCUCAUAUCAUGCUUUUCCCCUAUUAUUUCCUUUGCCCUUACUCUUGCCUGUAGAACAAGGAGAAAUGAAGCAAUCAGUUGGAACCUGAAAUUAAAUGUCUGAUCAGGAACUGAUUGCCCGGAACCUUUGUCUGGUUGCUUCCCUAGCAUUGCUCUCGAGUACUCAUCUUUAACUGUCGACGGGUCUCGAAUUUCCUCAGCGAAUACUUCAGGACAGUUGAUAUGAUGUUGGCUCUUUACACUGAAGCUGCCAAGCAUGGUUAAGUCGCUGAAAGGUGAUGCCUUGAAGGACCAUUGAAAGGCAAAAGGUUGCGCACCACUUCUGCUAGGCGAAAGAAACAAGCAGAGAAGAAUGCAGCACGAUGAGCUGGAACAAAUCAUUAUAGCAAGACACCCUUCUUGGCAGAACUGCAUAAUCCAGACAAAUGAGUCUAAGUUAAAUCCAAGCCCGUCAUCGUUGCUAUAAUCAAAGAGCUCGAGAAGCUUCAACAACCUUCCGAUGGCACUGUCGCCGAAGAGCAAAGUCUCGACAACCUUUGAAGAUCAUAAUGUUCACCAAACUGCUCAGGGUUCAUAUGAAAAAUGCUGCGAACUUCCUUGAUCUUUCAAAGAAAAUUCUUUGCAGCAUCUGACCUUAUCCCCUAACCUUCUUCAAUAUGAAUGGGAAAGAUUGAACAAAGAAACAGGCCAUCACCUUCAUCUCAUGCCUACUUGCCAUUUGUCCAAAUCCUGAAACCGCUGAUGGUCAUGUUUAAGUUCAAGAUCAAGCCUCAACGGCCCUUGAAGAAAUCACAAGUCCGAUUCAAUAUCAAGUGUCCACCGCCAUUGAAUCAAAUCCAGUUCAAGAUUAAGUCUGUGGAAAGUCCUUUGGAGGAAACCAGAAAACCCUCCAACCUAGUUCAAGAUCAAAGUUGUGGAAAGUCAAAAAGCGCAACAAAAUACAUGUCGAUUCAUCCAUUACCAAAGCCAAAGAUCAUCUACCACAUGAAGCUCCUUGUGGUCCCAAUUUCAUCCAAGAUCAAGCCUCAACGGCACUUGAAGAAAUUUCAAUCAAAAUUCAAGAUCAAGCCCUGAUGGCCCUUGAAGAAAAUCCCAGCCCAAUUCAAGAUCAAGCCUCAACGGCCCUAGGAUCGACAUCUACAUUAAGGGACUUCAAAACACAUCUUUUACAUGUGACAAUCACAUGUAAACAACGCGCUUUGAAGUUGGGGCAUUUGUAGACAUUGAAAUUUCUGUGAAAUAAGUAUUGACAAUUGUAUUAAAACCCCCAUUCAUUUCACCUACAUCGUACACUCACUUCACAUACAUCAUACACUUACUUCACAUACAUCAUACACUCAUCCUACUUACAACAUCCACUUACUUCACCAAACAAAUGGAUGGUGGUGAUUCAUUCUCAAAGCCUAUAAAUAGGCUUCUCCAUCAAGCAAUAGAAAAAGAGGAUUUUACAUACAUUCUCUCUACUCCCAAAUUGGAAGAAAAUUCACAUCACACCAAAGCCUUGAAGCCUUGAAACUCUAAAGCUCUCAAGCAAAUCCCGAAGAAUCAAGAAAGCCCUAUUCGUUCUUCAUCAAAAUCCUCCUUCAAGAUCAAGCCUCAACGGCCCUUGAAGAAAUUUUCACUCAUUCAAGAUCAAGCCCCGACGGCCCUUGAAAAAAGUGUUCAUCAUUCAUCAUCCGUUCAUCCUAAAGAUCAAGCCCCGAUGGCUCUUUGGAUCAACAAUAUCAAAUCUACCAAUUACAAAGAUAGAAUCAGAGGCUAAAUUUGUAGAAGAGAUUGUAACCCUUAAAUCAUUAAUACAAAUAUUAUUUUGUACACGUGUUCUUGUCUCAUUCAUCGCAGGAAUUCCCAUGUUUACAAUGUAACAUGGCCCUAGCUCUACGGCUCCUUACUACGCUUAUCUUGCAUCACGACUCCCGACCGUGAAGAGUCAUACUUCGUGACUCAUCGCCACAUCGACUUAAGCUCUGUAGCCUCUCACCACACCACUGAUCACCAACCAGACUACAGAGGAGUACACGGCAAAGCAUCCGAAGAUGACGCAAUACCUAAAGAACGUAUGAAAACAGCUUGAGGCAUUUCAGACUUACACCCUCACUCAAGUUUCACGAGCAGACAACAUCUACGCUAACACGCUAGUCGGCCUAGGCUUCCCCCUUAACCAUCAACUCAAAUGCUAUAUUUUGGUAAAGUAUCUGGAAAAACUAAGCAUAGAGGCUGAGCCAGCAGCCAAGAUGUCACAGGUUAGUACAAUUCCAAACUAGCAAGAUUCCAUUAUAGACUACCUAGUCAGUGGCACACUUCCCACUGAAAUAUUGGAGUUUAAAAAGCUAUAAACAAAGGCAACACGUUACUACAUGUGGAAUGACAUUCUCAUCCGAAGAUCCUACAUUAGACCACAUCUCUGCUGUCUAACGCAUCUUGACGACCUAAAGGUUCUAAUUCAAUCCAUGAAGGCGUUUAUGAAAAACAUUUUGAAGGCCGAUCCUCAGCAUAAAAGGCUUUUAACGUAGGUUACUAUUGACCUACUAUGCAUCAAGACGCUAAGGAGUUAGUACAAAAGUACGAUCGCUGCCAACGCUACAAGCCGAUACCAGCACUACCUGCCAGCAAACUACACCCACAUACGAGUUCUUAGCCAUUAAUGUAGUGGGCAAUCGACCUGGUAGGGCUAAUGUUGCGCGUUACUAGGGGCAUAGGCAAGGUGAUCAUGGCAACUGACUACUUCACCAAAUGGGUGGAAGCAGAGUCCAAAAUGACCACAACUCAGACAGACAUAGAGCGUUUCAUAUGAAGAAACAUCAGCUGCCGAUUUGGCAUCCCUCAAUCCAUCUUCACCGACAACGGCCCAUAAUUCGUAGGCAAAGAUUUGGCAAAUUUCUUCCAAAAAUAUGGCAUCAAGCAUCAAAUGUCCACACCAACGUAUCCUUAAAGCAAUGGGCAAGUUGAAGCAUCCAACAAGACGAUUCUUAACUACCUCAAGAAAUCCCUCUCCGACAAGAAGGGAAAAUGGCCAAACGAACUUCUUGGAUGUCUAUGGGUGUAUCGCACAACCAACCGACAAACAGCCGGUGAGACUCUUUUCACCUUGGCAUUUGGUUCAGAAGCAAUCAUUCCUCCCAAUGUCAUCGUGCCAAGUAUCAGUACUUUAUUGCCAAGCAUUGAGCAUAACAGAAAAGGGAUGGCCAUAAACCUAGAUCUGGCAGAGGAGGAAUGCGAGAAGGUUAUCACCCGUAUCACAACCUACCAGUAGUAGCUUCUCUCUAGCUAAAACAAAAGGGCUAAGAUCUAGCAAUUCCAGCUUGGAGAUUUAGUCCUAAGAAAAUCCUUCAUCAGGGCUUCCAGAUAAGGCUCCAAAAGAUGGAUCUUAUCUGGGAAGGUCCGUACAAGAUCAGCAGAGUAUACGGCAAGGAUAGCAACACCCUCGCCACUAUGACCAACAAAGAGAUCAAAAAACAGUGGAACGCCUACAAUCUGAGGAAGUACCAUGUGUGACAUCUCGCUACAUCAAAGCCCAAAGACUCAAACAGCUCGACGGGAACAACCUCGCAAGCCGAAGACUAUCUAGUUGUUAUUUAGUUCCUACCUUACAGCUAAGUUUUCAUUCGUUUCACUUGUUUUUCAAUGAGGAACUCAUAAGUAAUUUACAACUUGGCUCAGCUGCAUGCUUACAACAACUGAUAACUCAUGCAAUUCAAAAGAAAAUUGUGCCCUUUUUAGGGACUUAUCGCAGAAAUUGCACCUCCUUGGGGACAAACCAUGCUCUCCAGGGUAAACUAAUUCCCCGACACCCAUAUGGGUUUGCUCUUCGAUGCGAGAGGAUAAAGUAUACACUCUGAAUAUCCAGAUGUGGAUGAGUCGGGCUGCCCUAAUGUAACUAGAUGCAUAAUGGCUUGCGUCGGGAUUCCUAGAAGUAGCCAUAAUGGUCUCUUUCAAGGCUUAACUAACUAAAGGAUUUUUGGUCUCUUGGCCUAAUACGCGGGGGACUGGGCCUCAAAGACGGAGGAGGCACAUUACGCAGUACGCCCUAUGGACAGCUGUCUUAGAACCCUAAAGCUACUUGCCCUUCGAGUAGUAAGUUGUGCUAAACUUAUACAACCGCACAUUUUUGUGAGAGUUAAACAAUUAGCAUGUAUAUACGAAGCUCUAUCCACUGUCUAUAUGUUAUGCAGUCGAUAAGCUUCACCUCUGCCAAGCGCGGGAUGAUCGUUUAGUUCUACACUAAUUCCUAAAGUGUUGUGAUACUUGCUACACAACCGAUGGAGUUGGUUACAUAAAGAGCAAAGAGUUCUCUCAGACCCUUGCUUACGAAAUUCCAUACAACCACGUACUUUUGAUACGAAAGGUUAGCGAAUUUCAUGACCCAUACAUUUUUAGUAUGUUGUGAUGCAAGCCACAUAGCUCAAAGGAUUGAAGAAAGCCAAAGUUAAUAGCCAAGUGGUCACAUGGACUCGUCUGCUUCUGUAAGUAAGGCGUCCGGCUGCAGACCUUAUGACUAACAACUUUGCAAAAGUUCUACUGACACAUACAGCUGCAUAGCUACGUAGGCCUAUCUGCUAAUAGAAAAGCAACACGUCUGCACUGGUCUAAAAGUCAAAGGUUGGGUGUAAACAAAAAAAGCAAAAAUGAAGAAAAGUGAAGGCAACAAGUUUAUUAAAUUUUCUAACAAAAUUGAUAAACAAGUCAAAGGCGAUGGAGUUCAAGCAAAGCAAAAAAGGAACAAGGAAAAGAAAGAAAAUCCUAAAGGCUACUUAAAAGACUACUCUUUAGUAGCUUAGACAUUCUACAACUACUUGGUCACCACACUUUCAACAAUCGUGACACUCUCAGCAGCAGCAUCAUCCAACACUUCACCCCCGGCUACCCCAGCCUGGGCACCAACUUCUCCAACUACUUCACCAAUGGAAGCCUCAAAAGUAAAGACAAACAAGUCUUCCAGAGAAAUAGAAAACGUCUCGAAGUCUUUCCCAACAAACCCAAAGUCAGAUGGCCUACCAAAGAGAUGAUUUACAUAACCUAGCUUGUAGACAUCGGCCUAACUCUAAACAAGCGAAGCCUCGAGCCCCGCCUUCUCACCUUUUAGCUGCUCGUUCUCCUCAAGCAGACCAACACGGACGCGCUGGAGUUCAUCCACUUCCUUUUUCAUAUUUUGUUGAUCUUCAGUGCAAUUGGAGUUCCAACAUUUAGGGUUCAGCCUAUCGACGAUCUUCUUAAAGUGGAUCACUUGAUUAUAAGUAGCAAUAAACUUUUCAUCCUUUGCGUAAACAGCAGAACAAAGCUCAGAAAUAGCACACUCAAGAUCUUGAAUCUGAGUUAUGUAACAACCAAUCUUCUUCUCUGCACUUUCAUACUUAACUUGGAUCGCAUUAAGCCCAGUCUUCAAGUUAACGAUCUCCUGGCGAGCAGUCUCAAGCUGCAGAGAUAUUGGACCCCUUCAAAGCAACGAGCUCAGACUCUAAAUUCUUGAUCUUCUUGGCAUAAGAAUAAGCCUCAGCUGCCAUAGUCGUUGCUAUCUCCUUACUAACCUUGGUAUCCUCUUGGUCAAUGAGCAUAGACUCGACUACCAAAAUCGUCAUUUUCUACAUCAUGGCAAGCAGAGCACUCCUUCUAUAUUGAGUUGUAUGCUUCGCAAAGGAACCUGGGCAAACAACCCCUCUAACGCCAUCAACAAGAUUGGCACACACGUCCAUAUCUUCAAGCAGAUCUGGCUUGAAAACAUACAAACCUCAGCAGCCUUUCCAAAAACAGGCUUGGUGGAUUUCUCACAACUGAUCGGAUCAUAUUUAUAUAUAUUUUUACUUCGAAUUCACUCGUCUUUUCUUAGUUAGUUCCUUAUAUUUUUGAGCUAUUUACGUUAUUUUUGUGUUUAUAAGAUUUGAUAUGUUUUGUAGAAAGAAAGAAGAAAAGAAAUGAAAAAAAAAAUAAAGAAGGAUAAUGAGGGGGGAUCCAAGAGAGACAGGUGGGCUGUCUGUGACGAAAAAGAAAUAGCUGCGUGGGCAGCUGUGUGAUGACAGUCAAAAGCUAGGGUGAAAGCUGCUUUGCAGCUGGUCAAAGAAGGAAUAAAAAAUUAAAAGGAAAAAUGGGAAAGACGGAUCCAAAGAAAAGAAAGAAAGCAGGCGUGAAAAGAGGGAGAGGAGUGCACGUGAAAGGGGAUGGAAAGGGUUGCCUUUGCAGCUGGCCAGAAAAAAAGAAAGAAAAAAAAUAUAAAAAAUAAAUGAAGUAGUGCGGAGUCAGUAGGGGGCUGUCUUUAGAGCAGGGUGAGAACGGGGGGAGAUAAGGGGGAGCGGGAGAAGUCAGUAGGGGGGAGAUAAGGGGGAGCGGGAGAAGUCAGUAGGGGGGUCUUGGAGCGAGAGAAGGGAGCUGCCCUUUGGGCAGCUCGCAGAGAUGCAGGAAGAGGACCGAGAGGACAGGAGGUCAGCAUGAAAAUGCAGUUCAGAGUCCAAGCAGCAGAUCCUUUCUUUCGGUUUAAUCUUUCCAAACUCCUAUUUUAUUUUUGUUUUAAUAAUGUGUAAUUAAUUUUAUUUUGGCUAGAGGUUAAUUCGAAACCAUGUAUAUAUUUGUAAUAUGAAUUGAUUACCUUCGGUUGUGAUUUCAUAAGUUGUGAUUUCAAUUUACUUAUCCGUUCGUAUAAAAACUGAUUUGUGUAUGUUGGUUGAGAGUGCACGCUUAAUUUACAUGCAUGAAUUUGAUGCUAGAAUAUAAGUGAAUUUCACCUAAUCGUUAUGAACUUAUUUUCACAAGUAGUAAAGGUUGCUAGUCACAAUCACGUUAAGUAAAUUCUUGGCAAGAGUAUCAUGCUUUUCAUAGUUACGAAUGCCUCGUCAAUGCUUAUAGUUUUCACAAAGUUUAAUGAUCUUUGAUUGUAUCUCUAUUGUGCUUUUCACGUAGGGGACUUUUGAAGAAUGUUUUGAAUUGUUGUAUGCGUUUUCCCGUCCAAUUCAAUAACUUAAGGAAAACUUGAAGAUUAAAAAAGUACUGUUCACGGUUAAUCUGGAGUUUUGAGAGAUUCACAAUUUAUUGAAAGAACAACUGAAGAUCAAUUUAAGUUGCAUAUGUGUCAUGUGUGGAGAAUAACCCUCUAGCUAGUCCGUCAUUUAUCAUUUUACCUUAAUUUUAUGUUUUUGUCAAUUCUGUAAUUUAAUUAAGUUUAAUUUACUUUUCACCAAAACCAAACACCCAUCCAUUAUUAAAUUAUAUUAUUUAGUUAGUUUUCUUUAUUGUUAGUCUUUUAAUUUAAUUUCCGUCCAUUUCAGUUCCUAGUGUUUAAUUUAAUUGUUUUCAUUAUUUUGAGUCAUUUUAAGUGUGUUUCGAGUUAUUAGAGUUUUUAGCCUAAUUUUGUGUCCUUGAGUCUUAUUUAAUAUUUUUAAAUUAAUUUAGAAUAGAUUAGCAAUCCCUCCUAAUCCCCGGCCUAGAACGAUACCCUACUUACAUCUAUACUACAAUUGUCAAAAAGAGGGUUUAAUUUUGUGUGUUAACUUAUUUUACGCAUCAAAUUUUGGCGCCGUUGCUGGGGAUUAGUAACUUUGCUAAUCCUUUUAUUUUUGUUUUUGUUUAUGUUUAUAUUGGUGUUUGUGUAUUUUACUUUGGAUAUUUGAUUUAUUUUUCUUUCUUUGAUUUUAGGUUCAAAUGGAGCCGAGGGAAAUUUAAAGGAAAGAUGCGUCCGGCUAAAGACGUUAAAUCAAGCGCUUCUUGGGAGGCAACCCAAGCAUUCAACGAAGGGAGACUUUGGAAUCGCUAACCCAAUCAGAUUUGCAUUUUUACACCCUUAUCUUUAAUGCUUUCAUUUUGUCUUGUUUAGUUAGUUGUGUUAUUUGUUUGAUUUCUUUGAGUUUGUGUUAUUUAGUUUAAGUGUGGGGGAAGGUUAACCAAAGUCUCUUUACAUUAAUUUACAUAUAUAAAAAAAAAAAAAAAGAUAAAUUUUAAAAUUAAUGAUAAAAAAAAAAAUUACAUAAAAAAAAAAAAAAAUUUAAAAAAAAAAAAAAAAGUACAAAUAUUUUACAAUGAUGUAAACUAAUAGUAUUCAUUGGUCGGGUGGUGCUUCAGUAGUAGGCGGGGCUUCAGCAGUCGGCGGGGCCACAGAAGGAGGAGGCGGCAGAGGUUGAUCAGUUGGAGCUUCACUACGCGGUGCCGCUCCAGAAGACGAAGGCAGAUGUUGUUGGAACAAACCCACAAACCUCCGAUGAUCAAGUAAAAUUUGACCGUCGGUGUCCUGCAUCUGGUCAAUCUUCCUCUUCAUGCUGGUGGCAUAGCUGUGUGCGAGCUUAUGCAAUUCCUUAUUCUCAUGCUUGAGCCCUUUAAUCUCUUGCUUGAGACUCUGUAUUUCAGCCACCAAGGAUUCAACGUGACGGGUUCGGGCAUAUAGGCGUUGGGCCAUGUUGGAUACGGAACCCGCACACUGCACACUGAGAGCCAGAGACUCCUUGACCGCCAAUUCAUCAGACCGCCUUGCAAGCAGUCUGUUAUCUCUGGGAGUGACAAGGUUUCGGGCCACCACCGCAGCGGUCAUGUCAUUUUUCAUCACCGAAUCCCCAACAGUAAGAGGACCAGUUGGGGAUAUGAAAGAUGGGCGCCAUAUGUUGUCUGGUGAAGGCGGAGCUGCCUCUUCACCACGGUUCAAGUCAAAACGACGAUCGGAAGGGCCAGACAUUUUUCAGAGGUGGUGAAGAAAGAAGAGAGUUGGACUGAUCAAGAUUAAACAAGUGCAAGAUGGGAGUGUUUACUAGAGGGAGCUCAAGUGUGUUGUGGAACAAAAUUAACGCCUCUAUAAAAAGAAGAAAUCAAAGAGGCGCUCCUCAGAAAUUGAAGAGGCGUCCUUUCGCAAAUCGAAGAGUCGGGGCACCUUUCUCAAAAGCCGGAUUCUUUUCUCAAAAGAGGAGUUUCCGUUCUCAAAAGCCGGAUUCUUUUCUCAAAAGAGGCGUUCAUUUCUUAAAAGUUGGGCUUGCUCAGAAACCACGAGCCGAACCCCGGAUUUCGCAAGAUCAAUUCGUCCAGACGUGUUGUCACCCAUCACACGCAAACUCAGCUCUGCGAAAAUCACGGGCAGUCUGUCGAAGUGCCGAUUCCAACCAUCUGUCUCUCUCAGCCUAGUCAGCAUUUGUCACAUGCAACUGGCAGCUUUGCGGAAAUUACGGGCAGCUUUGUCAGAAAGCGCGUAAUUUGUACUAUUCAUCCAUCCACCAGCUGCCGACAAUGAGUGAGAGAACAGUUCCGGUUGUGAAGAGAAGUCCUAUAAGUUUCUACCUUCGCCUUCCACAGCAAAAUCACAUUCUCUCAGCACACACUCUCAACACCUCUUCAUCUCCGAAAAUGCAUUCCCAAAGAAUCCUCUCGAGUCACUCUGUGUUCCUCAUUCCUUGGGAUACUCCUGCGAACAACCCAUUCAAAGCAAAAGUAUUUCAUAUCAUAAAGGUUGAAAGCAAGAGUAUCUCAUAUCAUGCUUUCUCCAUGUCCUUCUCCUUGUCUUUGUUUUCCGACAAGGAGAAAGAGAGCAAUCAGCCAGCAUUUGGUAUCAAUCUUCCAAUCUGGAGCCAACUGCCUGGAACCCCUUCCUGAUUGCUUACCUAGCCUUGCUCUCGAGUACUCAUCUUCAUCAUUUUAUGCUUUCUCUUCGUCUACCACAUCUGCCUGGGGGACAGUAAGGGAAGUGAAAAUGAUACCUCGAAGCAUGUGGAGACAAUUCAGCUAGGGACAAGGAGAAAGAAAGCAAGAGGUGGGCACUUGGAAAGAUUGAAGAAAGAAAUAAGGACCAACACCUUUGCCUCGUGCCUGCCCGCCGUGCUGAAGAAACAAGCAGAGAAGAAUGCAGCUCGUACAAUCAACCCAGCACAAGGAGUCCGAACUGAAGAACUAGAGAAGCUGCCACAUCUGCUUGGAGAACAAAUAAGGAACUGCAACAUAACCAAAGAGCAAAGCUUCGCCGUACAAUAGCAUAAAAUCAUCACUUGCAAGUAAAAAGCUAAGUGUCACCCUGUUCAAGAGGAACGCUGUGGAAAGUCAACAAGCACGACCAAUGAUUACUUAUUAGUUCUAUUCAUUGUCUUUUAUCGUGAUUUUCAAUUUUUCGUUUGCAAUUUUUUAUUUAUUUUUUUAUUAUUAUUUUAUUUUCUUGCGUUACUUAACUGAAUUAUUUCUUUUCUUUGCAGGAACUUUUGGUUAUUUCCACCCUUGAAGUUGAUUGCAAAAUUUUAGCUUGGGGGUCAUCGCUUGAUUUUACUGCAAACUAGGGAAGUUUUCAGUCCAAUUGCUUUAUUUUGUUUCUUAUUAUUUAUUUAUUUUAUUUUAUUUUUAUUUUGCGUUAUAGUGUUUUCUGACAUUGGGGACAAUGUCAAGUUUAAGUGUGGGGGUAGAAAUCUCCAGAAUUUCAUUUGUUUCUGUGUUGUUGCUUUUUGUUUUCUUUAAAAAAAAAAAAAUCGGAAAAUUUAAAAAUCCAAAAAUAUUGUCUUGUUUCCCUUAUUGUUUUGAAUUAGAUUUUUUGUUAGUUUCCCGACCCAAUGAUAUAAUUAGAUCAAAUUUGAAUCAUGAUUAUCAAGAACUUAGUUAACAUGUGUUUUGUGAAAUUCCUAAUUCUUUUGUUAGUUUUGUACAUGUUUGAUCAUCUUUGAAAAACCAAAUGCACAUAGCCUUGUUAAUGUGAAACUAAAGUAUGACUUAAAGCUUCAUAUGUGAAUUUAGUGACCAUAUACAUCCUAUGUGAGUUUUUGAGCCUAUUGAAAGUGUGUGCAUUUUUCAUACACUCCUAUUUUUUUUAUGUGUGAUGAACUUAUGUGAGAUACAUCUCUAGAACUUGCGUAACGAUCUUUCGAAAUGUUUGUCAUUGAUUGCAUGAAUUUGGAAAUGAUAGAGGCAUUAGGUUUACCACUAUGGCCCAAAUAACCAUGUUUCCCAAAGAAAAAUGAUAUCAUUAGAUUGCCAAUUUGAGCCGUGUUUGUUGAGCCUUUUAUUUCUUAUCACCUGAUAUGUCUACCCUUAUACCUGAAACAUUUUUCCUUACCCUUUCCAAGCGAGCAAUGCGAGAUUGUCUUAUGAGAAAUGUUUGUGAAGUACUUUGAAGGUGUUUGGCAAAAGAAUAAGUGUGGGGGUAUUUCAUGUUUGUAUUUAAAAAAAAAAAAAAAAAAAAAAAAAAAAAGAAAAGAAAAGAAAAAGAAGGAUUGUAUACAAAGAAAAUAAAAAGUUUUUAAAGUUUCAGUUUAAGGGUGUGGUUGGAGGUUUCAGAAGAAUCGUUGGAGAGCUUGAGUUCUUAUAAAUCUAAACAAAAGAAUUGCUUGCAAUGUAGCUUGGAACUUGUGUUUUCCUAUUCUUUCGUUUCAAUAACUUUAUCCCUAAGCCUCAUUACAUCCAAUAAAAGUCCUCUUGAUUUAAGUUUUGCAAUUAUGAUUGUGGAGAUGAGAUCUUUAUGCAAGCUUAUGGUAGAAAUUUCACAUUUGAUUCUUUGAGCGAAACACAUUAAAACUAAACAAAUGUGUGAUUGAGUGAAUAUUCAGUGAGAAGGUCGCUAGUUUGCAUAUGAUGAUUUUAAAAAUAAAAAACUUGAAAUUGCAUUAGCAUGGCUAUCUCACACACUACACUUCAAGGAUGAUUCAAAGAUUACUGCUAAUAUUUGAAUAAGGAAGAUGAACUUGGAUUAACUUGUUUGGUGCUAGCUAUGGUUCUUGACGAUUUGUUUUCUCGAAUGAAAUUCUAUGAGGGUCACAUAGGGGGAAACUAAUGUUUUUCAUGUUAGUACUUUUUCAUGUUUUCUUUGUUUUGCUCGAGGACUAGCAAAAGUUAAGUGUGGGGGUAUUUGAUCGGAUCAUAUUUAUAUAUAUUUUUACUUCGAAUUCACUCGUCUUU
rnacentral:lncRNA from 1 species